rnacentral:rRNA from 1 species
AUUGAACGCUGGCGGCAUGCUUUACACAUGCAAGUCGGACGGCAGCACAGAGAAGCUUGCUUCUUGGGUGGCGAGUGGCGAACGGGUGAGUAACAUAUCGGAACGUACCGAGCAGUGGGGGAUAACUAAUCGAAAGAUUAGCUAAUACCGCAUAUUUUCUGAGGAAGAAAGCAGGGGACCAUUUGGCCUCGCGCUGUUUGAGCGGCCGAUAUCUGAUUAGCUAGUUGGUGGGGUAAAGGCCUACCAAGGCGACGAUCAGUAGCGGGUCCGAGAGGAUGAUCCGCCACACUGGGACUGAGACACGGCCCAGACUCCUACGGGAGGCAGCAGUGGGGAAUUUUGGACAAUGGGCGCAAGCCUGAUCCAGCCAUGCCGCGUGUCUGAAGAAGGCCUUCGGGUUGUAAAGGACUUUUGUCAGGGAAGAAAAGGACAGGGUUAAUACCCCUGUCUGA